rnacentral:misc_RNA from 1 species
AACAUCGCGCACCUGCGGGAACCUGCGGAAGGAUCAUUACAGAGUUCAUGCCCUCACGGGUAGAUCUCCCACCCUUGAAUACUAUACCUUUGUUGCUUUGGCGGGCCGCUUUGGCUACUGGCUCUGGCUAGUAAGUGCCCGCCAAAGAACCCCAAAACUCUGAAUAUUAGUGUCGUCUGAGUACUAUAUAAUAGUUAAAACUUUCAACAAUGGAUCU